rnacentral:rRNA from 1 species
GGAGGGUGCAAGCGUUAAUCGGAAUUACUGGGCGUAAAGCGCACGCAGGCGGUCUGUCAAGUCGGAUGUGAAAUCCCCGGGCUCAACCUGGGAACUGCAUUCGAAACUGGCAGGCUAGAGUCUUGUAGAGGGGGGUAGAAUUCCAGGUGUAGCGGUGAAAUGCGUAGAGAUCUGGAGGAAUACCGGUGGCGAAGGCGGCCCCCUGGACAAAGACUGACGCUCAGGUGCGAAAGCGUGGGGAGCAAAC